UUUCAAAAACGGUAAAAAUCAGCAAACCCCACAUUUUUUGCGUUUUUUGUUAGAAAAUCAAUUUGAAUUUAAUUAAAUGAUCAUCUUACGAUCAAAUCCAAUCAAGUUUGUUCAAAAUGUGUGAAAAAUGUGGGAAGAUAAAUUUUAUUUCAGUCAAAAAUGGAAAAAUAACAUAAAACAUAUGAAAAAACACGACUUUUUUAAAUAGCUCUAAUUUGAAAAACUGCAAAUUUCUGCAAAAAGUUUAAACGUUUUUAUGCAGCCCUAAGCAUGACGUUUAAGAUGUACUAUUAGAAAUUGCGGCGACACGUGACGACACGAACCGCUUUUUAACUUAAAAAUUACCAAAAUUCCUAAGGUACAAUAUAUGAAAAUUUGAAAAGUUUUGUGACAUAUUAAUUUUGCACCAUAUGUGCAUUCAAACAGUCCAAUAACAUGCUUUCAUAUGCUGGGUAACAUAAAACAUAUAUUCCAUUCUCAAAAUAUUAUAAUUUUACUUUUUUCGAAUAAUUCAUUUUUCAAUUUUAUGACUUAGGCCACUUUGGCAGUGAAAAUGUCAUUGAAAUACAAAAGCUGGUAUGCUUUUAAUUAAGAAUCAUAAAAAUACAAUACAUUAUCUUUGUUGUAAGGCGAAAAAAAGUUUAAAAAAAUCAAUUCCGUUUUUUGAGAGUUUUGGCCGCCCCUUUGUAUGGAGCCCGACCAAUGUGGGUUGUUGGAUACUAGUUGACCGGCGAACUUCGGGGCCGGACGAGGGUCGGGCGGUCGUCGGAAGGUUGUUUGUAGGUGGUCGGAUGUUGGGUGGUCGACGGUCUUCGGAGCCGGACGAGUGUCGGACGGUUGUUGGGCCGACGGGCUUCUGGGCCGGACGGAUUUCAGACGGUUGUCUGACGAACUUUGGGGUCGGACGAGCGGGUGAUCAAUCCGCUCAUCGCGGAUAUUGGCCAACCGAUGUUGUUGGAUAAUUGGCUUGGGUCUGGUGAACAAGAUGGCGUCUACCAUAUCACCAGUCGGAGAGUGUGAAACGAUCACACAGAGUCAUUUGCUGCGGUAGGCAUUCAUGCGCGGUAGAGUGGUCCGGAAACGGCGAUUCAAGAUUCCUGCCGAAGAAAGGCCACAAAAGAAAAAGGCCCGAUUUCUGGACCUAACCACAACACAUUAAACUCCUGUGACGUCCACUAACUCGGUUUUUAACAAUCAUACAAUAUUCUCACUCAAAUUACCUUUUUCUUGUUUUUCCUUUUAAAUACAGUAGUUGUGCACUCUUCAAUGGUAGUUAGACUUAGGCUUUUAACUGUAACAAUUUUACACAUUAACAUUUAACAAAAUAGAAUAGUUUUACUAACACACUAACCGUAUUGAUUUUAUCCAUUUUACCACAUUUUGUUUUCCAAUUUUACUAAUCAGACUAAUUAGCACUUUUUUACUAACUUGUACUAACAACCUAAUUUUAAGAGACAAAACACAGAUUAAUAACUGUUCCACUAGGACAAUAGUUUUUUUUUUAACCUCACAUUUACUAAAACGUUACACACGCGCGCACUACAAUUACGUACAAGAAUUCAAGCAAAAGAGAGCAUUUUCUUUUAACACCCAUCUUUUUAUACUCUCUGGUACUAAGAUGUAACAUAAAAAUCUUCAUCUUUAGUUUCUAGUUUUAUUCCCCACCCUAUUUGCAUAUUCUACGCUCGCUCCAUCUGAUUGCGAGUAUGAAAGGGCUAAGUAAUGUUUUGGCCCCGUUCGUUCAAACUGCUCGACUCUGUGAAACCACUCAAAUCUGACAGUUCGAUAGAAUGAGUACCGUUCAUAGAUUAUCGUUUGUGUUAUUGUCAAAGGGCGUAUUGAUGUCAAUCAGGGAAUUUUGGAUAGGAAUUGGAAUUAUUGAAACUUUGCAAACUUGUGGUGGAGCUACAAGCACAUUUUGGAACCGACGGUUACAAUGCCCCGUCGUCCCUCCUAAAAAUGAAAAGAUUUUUCAUUUUAAUUGAUUAUUCUAUUUUCGAUUUUCGCCUUCAUACGGGUUGCGAUAGGCCCUUUUUCAAAAUCUUGUAACCUUCAUCACUCCAGAGAUGAAGAAAAGAAACUUGGUAACUCAGUUCCCAGCUUGGAACUGUCAAACCGUUCAUUCAUGAUUCCAAUGUUUACCUUUCGACGCGAGGAUGUUUAUUUCUACGGAAAUAAAAAUCAAGCGUUUGCUUCACAAUCCCGGCGAUAAACUGUGCAAAAUAACGUCCGACAAUGAGCCAUUUUACGAAGUGACAACAAUGUUGAUGAUGAUAUUGGUUUUCACAGGUUAUUGGACACUACCUCCUGUCAAAAUUCAUUCAUAAAAUCGGCUCGUAAAAUAGACUAUAGAAAGUACUCGGGUGUACACAGUUCCACGAUUUCUCUACAUGUAUCGGUCUGGUUCCCAUUGAACGGUUGGCGAAUCUGCGGAGAGGAGUUCUUUCACUUGCGAAGGCGAUUAUGUACGUUCCCAGCAACACAGCUUUAUUUGGUGUCCGCGUCCGGACUAUUGAAUGAAUCGACUAUUGGAUCGUUCACCGAAUGAGACCUCCGAUGGGAUUUCUAGUGACGCCAGCUCAUUCCGAGCUGGUCCCAAUCGAGGAUUUGCAAUGGGAAUUCCGCAGAGCACCUACACCACCUCCUGAAAUUGGGUAGAGGGUGUCCGCUUCAACGGUAUAUCGGAUGUUUACAUCCAUGAAAUGUAACCUCUGGUCACGAUGACCCGAGUAAAAGAUUUUCAUUAACUCUCGCUGUAAUUUUCAGGAGACAAUUGAAAUAAAAAGUCAUGAUUGUUUUAUAAGUUACGUGUAGGGGAAUUUUGUUGGGACGUAGAUUUGUUCUAUUCCUACCGGUUUACACAUCAUUUGAAAGAUAAAGUGCCUGUUUCACGUUCUAUUCAUUUCGACCGUGGCUGAAUCUAGUCAUUUUCUGGUUUAACUGCCGCUCGCGGGUCCGAAACGAUCGCGGAGAUUCAGCUUGUUCGUUAACAUUUUAGCCUACGCGAUGUGCGGCUCGAUUACGCUCUGUUUUCGAAUUAAUAUCGCGGAAAUCCUUGCGGAAGUCCACUCGGAUAAGCUAGUUUGAACCUAGACUUAAACUGAUUCAACAGGAAAUAACCAUCUCCAUACUGAGGAAGAAUGCACACGGACCGUUCCUCUAAUUUACCGGGACUAAUCGCGACACGAAUCACGGUUUCACUCGUCAUUUUUGAAGGCAAUUUCUACGCGAUUUCACUGAAACGGAUUUAUACCGCGUCGCGUCGAUCGUUAACUGAAAAAUAUUUCGAAUCGGGUAGUCAGGAAAUCACUCCCUAAAGUGCCCCACACAAUGCAUACGUUUGCGUGUGCGUGACAGUAGUUUGACACAUUUCCCAUGGGAAAACUGUCAAAAAAACGCAAACCUCGACGGAACGGACGCUAUGUGUUCCAGGCUUAA